rnacentral:rRNA from 1 species
AGCAGCCGCGGUAAUUCCAGCUCCAAUAGCGUAUAUUAAAGUUGCUGCAGUUAAAAAGCUCGUAGUUGAAUUUCGGGACCAAUAUGUCGGUCGUGCUUCGGUACGUACUGUCAUAAUUGGUUUCUCCCUUCUGAAGAACCUUGAUGUCAUUAAUUUGGUGUCUUGGGGAAUCAGGACUGUUACUUUGAAAAAAUUAGAGUGUUUAAAGCAGGCUCGCGCUUGAAUACAUUAGCAUGGAAUAAUGAAAUAGGACGUUUGAUUCUAUUUUGUUGGUUUCUAGGAUCGACGUAAUGAUUAAUAGGGAUAGUUGGGGGCAUUAGUAUUCAAUUGUCAGAGGUGAAAUUCUUGGAUUUAUUGAAGACUAACUACUGCGAAAGCAUUUGCCAAGGAUGUUUUCAUUAAUCAAGAACGAGAGUUAGGGGAUCGAAGACGAUCAGAUACCGUCGUAGUCUUAACCAUAAACUAUGCCGACUAGGGAUCGGAUGAUGUUAAUUUUUAAUGACUCAUUCGGCUACCG